GAUGAACGCUGCGGCGUGCCUAAUACAUGCAAGUCGAGCGAACGGACGAGAAGCUUGCUUCUCUGAUGUUAGCGGCGGACGGGUGAGUAACCCGUGGAUAACCUACCUAUAAGACUGGGAUAACUUUGGGAAACCGUAGCUAAUACCGGAAAAUAUUUUGAACCGCCUGGUUCAAAAGUGAAAGACGGUCUUGCUGUCACUUAUAGAUGGAUCCGCGCUGCAUUAGCUAGUUGGUAAGGUAACGGCUUACCAAGGCAACGAUGCAUAGCCGACCUGAGAGGGUGAUCGGCCACACUGGAACUGAGACACGGUCCAGACUCCUACGGGAGGCAGCAGUAGGGAAUCUUCCGCAAUGGGCGAAAGCCUGACGGAGCAACGCCGCGUGAGUGAUGAAGGUCUUCGGAUCGUAAAACUCUGUUAUUAGGGAAGAACAUAUGUGUAAGUAACUGUGCACAUCUUGACGGUACCUAAUCAGAAAGCCACGGCUAACUACGUG
rnacentral:rRNA from 1 species